GACGAACGCUGGCGGCGUGCUUAACACAUGCAAGUCGAGCGGUAAGGCCCUUUCGGGGGUACACGAGCGGCGAACGGGUGAGUAACACGUGGGUGACCUGCCCUUAGCUCUGGGAUAAGCCUGGGAAACUGGGUCUAAUACCGGAUAUGACUCCAUGACGCAUGUUGUGGGGUGGAAAGCCUCGUGCGGCUAGGGAUGGGCCCGCGGCCUAUCAGCUUGUUGGUGGGGUGAUGGCCUACCAAGGCGACGACGGGUAGCCGGCCUGAGAGGGCGACCGGCCACACUGGGACUGAGACACGGCCCAGACUCCUACGGGAGGCAGCAGUGGGGAAUCUUGCGCAAUGCACGACAGUGUGACGCAGCAACGCCGCGUGGGGAAGACGGCC
rnacentral:rRNA from 1 species